UACAGAGGUCCCAAGCGUUGUUCGGAUUCACUGGGCGUAAAGGGUGCGUAGGUGGUUAGGUAAGUCUGAUGUGAAAUCUCUGGGCUCAACCCAGAAACUGCAUUGGAUACUAUCUAGCUAGAGGAGUGGAGGGGGGACUGGAAUACUUGGUGUAGCAGUGAAAUGCGUAGAUAUCAAGUGGAACACCAGUGGCGAAGGCGACUCUUUGGCCUUUAACUGACGCUGAGACACGAAAGCGUGGGUAGCAAACAGG
rnacentral:rRNA from 1 species